rnacentral:lncRNA from 1 species
GUUGGAUGAAGGAAUGCUGUAACAUUCCAGUAAGCAACUAGCCCAUUCACAUUUCUUAACAUAAUGGCUGCCAGCCUUGUGAAAAAGAGGGAGGAGUCAGGCAAUGUAUUUCCUCCUAAGCUCGCUCUUGUCAUUUAUUAAUUAAACAUGUAUGUUUGUGACUUUUUAUGUGAAUACAGCAACAAGUGAAGCUUUAUUUAUUUAUUUUAUUCCACAUGGCCUAACAAAGCAUGAGGCAAAGUUCCAAUAUUAUAACCUAGUUUGUGUCUCCACCUUUUCCUCUAGGUCCAACACCUCUCCGCUGCUACGGUGACAGCUACAACACCAGUUUCUAUGGUUUCCUGGAGCAAUCUUUCAUGGGUUUCCAGUUUCCCAACCUCACCACCUUCCUGUCGCUCAUGCCUCCUGACAGAAUGCAUCUGGUGUGUUGACUUGAAAGAUAUCAGGAGUAUAUAAUAUGAUGAAACAAGAGGAGAAUGUCUUAAUUUAUGUCUUCUAAUCUUCUAGAUCAUAAAUUCCAUCCCUCCAUCAGAGCUUGGGAAUUACCUACAACGUCCUAAUGUUGUCGACAACGACGCACAGCUCUGCAUGCUCUUAAACAGCUACAGCCAGACACCACAGUUUCUAGAAACUGAGUCUCUGCCGGAUGCGGUGAGGCGCUCCAUCCUGCCCUGCGUCUGGCCCGUGGCCCUCAACAGCACCCAAACGUCGGAGGUCAACGCUUGGUUUGACCGUCGCCUCAAGAACUACUUGCCCUUCCUCACAAAGAGCCUGAUCAGUCCCAGUGUCAUAAACAGCACCUCCUGCCUGGCCUUCCAAAAACUGUGUGUUUUACUACAGCACUAAAUCCUGCUUUAUAUGUUUCUUUGUUUUGGGUUCUGAUUUAGAUUUGUUGUGUUUCAGUGUCUCAGUCCUUGGGGUAUACAACUACACUACUGCUGACUUUGUGAGGGGAGACGUGUACAACGCCAUCAGGACUUACCUUUACGUCGGCUCAAGUAAGUCUUUCAAGCAUGCCCAGGUCAAGGAUCAAGUGGGAUGCUAGUUUAAGUAGAAAAAAAAAGACAUUGAUCAAAAGAUAUUCUACAUGAAACUGAACAGCAACCACAUGUCAGCUAAAAACACAACUGCCUGAGUACAAUUUAAAUUAAAAGGGAAACUGAGUUGUAUACAAAAUUCAGGGAAUUGCAAUUUUUUUCAGUUUCCCUUCAUUUUGCAGCACCACAGAUUGCUGUGCUUUGGAUAUAUGUGUAUAUACCUAAUACUUAACUGUGUGUAACAGUAGAACAAAGUCAGUACACUCAGUAAUGUGAAUUAAGAGGAUACAGUAUAUGUUUGCUGAUAUUAGCCAACGUUGCCACUCUCUGGCCUUGCUGCAGUCAUGCCUGAGAAAGAAGCAAACCAUUAACAUGAUAACAAAGAGCUCAGAC